rnacentral:rRNA from 1 species
AUUGAACGCUGGCGGCAGGCCUAACACAUGCAAGUCGAACGAGUGGCGGACGGGUGAGUAAUGUCUGGGAAACUGCCUGAUGGAGGGGGAUAACUACUGGAAACGGUAGCUAAUACCGCAUACCAUCAGAUGUGCCCAGAUGGGAUUAGCUAGUUGGUGGGGUAACGGCUCACCAAGGCGACGAUCCCUAGCUGGUCUGAGAGGAUGACCAGCCCCACUGGACCUGAGACCCGGUCCAGACUCCUACGAUCGGCAGCAGUUGCGCAUAUUGCCCAAUGGUCGCAAGCCUGAUGCAGCCAUGCCGCGUGUAUGAAGGAGGCCUUCGGGUUGUAAAGUACUUUCAGCGGUGAGGCGUUACCCGCAGAAGAAGCACCGGCUAACUCCGUGCCAGCAGCCGCGGUAAUUC